CUCCUCCUCCUUCCCGGCAGCCAUCGCUCUGAGCGGCGUGGACGACGUGCGUUCAGUGUUGGAGAACUACGCUCUGGAGGACGACCCCAUCGAGGCGUUUAAGCGCCGUCAGGCUCAGCUGGCGCAGGAGGAGGAGCAGCGUCUGGCCGAGCUCUCCCAGCAGAAGAAGCAGGGACUCUCCCUCGGCUCCAUCGCCUCGCGGUUCUGGCGCUCCAAACAGCAGUGAGCCCCGCCCCCCUCUCACGCUUCCACCAAUCGCAGCCCGGCUCGCCGUCGAGGGGGGGGGGGGAGGGGGGGGGACUGAAGCCGAGCGGACCGUCGGCGGUCUGCGGUGCCGAAACUUUGGCCGUCCUCUGCACCAAUGAGAGGCGCCUCCUGCUCCUCCUGGAGGCGGGGCGGCGGCGGAGGCCCCUCCCUCUCCUGGUGUCACCUGAUGAAGCUGCUGAUUGGUUAAAAACAAACAAACCGGAGACAGAGCGUCCAGGUCAGGAGGAGCUCUUGUUGCUGGCGGUUCGGAGGCCGCUCUGAGAUCAGCGCUGCUGUCGCCGCUCGGCUGCGGUCGGCCGCGGUCGGCCCCGCCCGCCGCUCGCAGGAUCUGACCUGAGAUCAGCGGCGCUCUGUCCCGAACCGUCAGAAUGUGUAUUUAAUUUUAUUUUCUAUUCCUCUGUGUGUGUCCGACUGUGCUGCUGGAGACGGUGUCAACGUCAUCAAUAUUGUUUAUAAGAAAUAAAGAUAAACAAUAAA